UGGGGAAUUUUGGACAAUGGGCGCAAGCCUGAUCCAGCAAUGCCGCGUGCAGGAUGAAGGCCUUCGGGUUGUAAACUGCUUUUGUACGGAACGAAAAGGCCCUGGUUAAUACCUGGGGCCCAUGACGGUACCGUAAGAAUAAGCACCGUCUAACUACGUGCCAGCAGCCGCGGUAAUACUUAGGGUGCGAGCGUUAAUCGGAAUUACUGGGCGUAAAGCGUGCGCAGGCGGUGAUGCAAGACAGAUGUGAAAUCCCCGGGCUCAACCUGGGGACUGCAUUGGAGACUGCAUAGCUGGAGUGCGGCAGAGGGGGAUGGAAUUCCGCGUGUAGCAGUGAAAUGCGUAGAUAUGAGGAGGAACACCGGUGGCGAAGGCAAUCCCCUGGGCCUACACUGACGCUCAUGCACGAAAGCGUGGGGAGCAAACA
rnacentral:rRNA from 1 species